rnacentral:rRNA from 1 species
UACGUAGGGUGCGAGCGUUGUCCGGAAUUACUGGGCGUAAAGAGCUCGUAGGUGGUUUGUCGCGUUGUUCGUGAAAACUCACAGCUUAACUGUGGGCGUGCGGGCGAUACGGGCAGACUGGAGUACUGUAGGGGAGACUGGAAUUCCUGGUGUAGCGGUGGAAUGCGCAGAUAUCAGGAGGAACACCGGUGGCGAAGGCGGGUCUCUGGGCAGUAACUGACGCUGAGGAGCGAAAGCGUGGGGAGCAAACAGG